UUUUUAUUUUUUUUUUAGAAUUUUAGUUUUUUUUUAUUUUUUUUUUUAAGUUUUAUUUAUUUAUUUAUGAUAGUUACAGAGAGAGAGAGAGAGAGAGGCAGAGACACAGGCAGAGGGAGAAGCAGGCUCCAUGCACCGGGAGCCCGAUGUGGGAUUCGAUCCCGGGUCUCCAGAAUCGCGCCUUGGGCCAAAGGCAGGCGCCAAACCGCUGCGCCACCCAGGGAUCCCCUAUUAUUAUUAUUUUUAAAAGUAAGCUCAUACCCAGUGUGGGGCUUGAAUUUACAACUCCAAGAUUAAAAGCCACUUGCUCUAGGCAUGCUCUACCAACUGAGCCAGCCAGGUGCCCCUGAAUGUUUAAAUUUUAUUUUAAAUUGCUGAUUGAAAUGUCGAGCUGUUAGAGAUCUGGAUUUAACAGCAUUACAUUUUAGAAGAAAUCACUAAUUUACACUGUCAUAUAUUACUUAACAAAAAUCCUUAUCUUCUAAAUUUAAAAGUGUAGGGGCACCUGGGUGGUUCAGUGGUGGAGUGUCUGCCUUUGGCUCCGGGUGUGAUCUCAGCGUCCUGGGAUUGAGUCCCAUAUUGGGGACUCUGUCUAGAGUUCUCUAAAAAGAGAACUGUAUUAAAUGCCAAACAUUUUCUUUAGUGCUUGCUUUUAAAAACUUGUUUCAAUUAGGUUUUUCUGUUUAUAUAUACUAUCCCCUCUUACCCGAAAGCACAAAACUCAUACACUCUUUCAUGAAUUUGAAGAAAACAGUUAAUGGUAACCUGUAUUUAUAUGUACAUGUGACAUGGAUUUCUAAUUGAGAUUGUUGGAUCAAAGUGUGGGAGUAUUAAAUUCUAAUACACUAUCGGUUUUCCAAAAGUAGUACAGAUUCACUCUUUUCUUUUUCCUUCUCCUUUGGUGGUGGGGCGCAAGAGGGAGAGAGAGAGAGAGAGAGAGUAUCGAAUCUUAAGGAAGCUCCAAGCCCAGCACAGAGCCUUGAUGCGGGGUUCAUUCUCAUGACUCUGAGAUCAUAAACUGACCCUAAACCAGAGUCAGAUGCUUAACCAACUGAGUCACCCAGGUGUCACAAGAUUCACUCUUAACAGCAGUGUAUCUUUUUUUUUUUUUCCAGUUUAAUGGGCAAGUAGUGUUUUACCACAUAAUUUUAUACUUUACCUCAUCUUGUUCUCUAAUAGGUUCAUGGGCACUUUGUUACGUUUCCCUUCCUUGCUUCACAACAUAUAAGAUCCCUAAAUUCUAGUUUCAGACAAUUGUGAAUUUGGGAGUAAACUUUGUAAAGGGAAUAAUAAUAUACCUGCCUUCUCUCCCCUCCACCCCCAUUUAUCAUUUGUUUGUGUUUAUUGUGUCUUAUUUUUCUAUUGAGACACAUGAAACAUAGGCUGUAUUAUACAGCCAACUCCUGCUUUCCCAGAUUAGUAUCUCCAGUCAUACUGGAAAAAAAAAUCUUCGAACUUCUCAUCAUCUCUUUUGAUCAGCCGCUUUUCUAUUAUGGUUCCUGAAAACUGUUAGCCCUUUUCCUUACCAAUGUUGGAACAUCACCUAGUGGUGAGAAAGUGCAACAGCAAGAUGGAUAGAUAUAGAGGCAAUACUGAUGAGGGUUAAAACUUUUAUGGUCGGAAUGAAUCCUGUGGACUAUUACAAUUGCGGGGUUUCAGGGGAGAAGAAAUUGAAACCAAUUGAAACCAACAGGUGAAGGAACUUGCAAAAUAGUUCAUGUUGAGUUAAUUGUCAUUUAAGAACAAGUUAAAGCUUUUUCUUGAGUUCUGUGAUCUUUUUCUUUCCUUUUUUUUUUUUUGUAUUUUAGGGUAAAGUUGUUUACCUCCUACAGUUCCUUAAUAUAGUAAUGAACAUGGCAUAUAUGCUUACUUAAUGCUUGCAGAUGGAUUAAUUUUUUUUAGAUGGAUUAAUCUGAUUAAAUAUCUUAGUAUUUGCUGCUGUUUUAUGCUGUGUCACUGGCUACUGCUUUACUUCAGUGGAGCCAAACUGUGGAGGGGAUGUAAAAAUAAAUAUAAUCAACUGUUGCUUACUGGAAGUGUACUUGUUAAGAGGGCUUUCAAAAUGACUACUGUAUCAUGCCAAAAUAACUACGUUAUCUUAACCUAAUUAAGAGAGAUCCAGAGAAUCUGGAGAAUGGCUUGAUAGAUCGCCAUGAAGUGCUUUUCAGGUUCCUACAAGUUUCCCACCCAAGAUUGUCCAUGCAUUGUAGAAUUAGAAGCUUAUACAUACACUUAGCCUUCCUUCUUUCAUUAACUAUUUAAAAAUACUAUUACAUGUAGACGGUACAACUAUUCAAAAAGCACUAAAAUCUCUUCCUUACUCUCACUCUGCAGCACCCUGUCACCACUAGUAGCCACUGUCUCCAUUUUUUAAAGUUUUUUAUUAUCUUAGGGGUAGAAGCCAGUUUUCUUUCUACGCCCUUUUGGUUCUGUCUGUUUUGAUUAUUCAGGCUGUAGGACUUGUCUUAUUACAGCCAUCCUAUCUACUAUUUCCUAUUGCCUGCUGCAGCAUUUUUUCAUAAUUGAUAGAAUUUAAAAUCAGUUUAGUAAUUAUAAUGUUUUUAUAACGCAGUCCUUGAAUAUGGAGUUUUGAAAAGUUACAUACGUGAGAAAGAUUUAAGGGGAAGUUUAAAAGUUUUAAGAACAAAGUAGCUUGAAUAAAUGGAAAUCUCUCAUUCAUGUAAGUAGACAUUUUAAAAAUACAAACUAUUAUGUUGUCCAUAAAAGAACUUUUAUGUGAACAUGCUCUUUUGGCUCAGGGCAUGAUCCCAGAGUCUGGGAUCAAGUCCUGUAUUAGGCGCCCCAUAGGAAGCCUGAUUCUUUCUCUGCCUGUGUCUGCCUCUUUCUCUGUGUCUUUCAUGAACAAAUAAA
rnacentral:lncRNA from 1 species